CAGUCGCCGCGGGAAUACGUAUGUCACAAGCGUUAUCCGGAUUUAUUGGGCGUAAAGCGCGUCUAGGUGGUUAUGUAAGUCUGAUGUGAAAAUGCAGGGCUCAACUCUGUAUUGCGUUAGAAACUGUGUAACUAGAGUACUGGAGAGGUAAGCGGAACUACAAGUGUAGAGGUGAAAUUCGUAGAAAUUUGUAGGAAUGCCGAUGGGGAAGCCAGCUUACUGGACAGAUACUGACGCUAAAGCGCGAAAGCGUGGGUAGCAAACAGGAUUAGAUACCCGUGUAGUCCCUGUCUCUUAUACA
rnacentral:rRNA from 1 species